rnacentral:rRNA from 1 species
CUACGGGGGGUUCCAGUGGGGAAUCUUGCACAAUGGAGGAAACUCUGAUGCAGCGAUGCCGCGUGAGUGAAGAAGGCCUUUGGGUUGUAAAGCUCUUUCGUCGGGGAAGAAAAUGACUGUACCCGAAUAAGAAGGUCCGGCUAACUUCGUGCCAGCAGCCGCGGUAAUACGAAGGGACCUAGCGUAGUUCGGAAUUACUGGGCUUAAAGAGUUCGUAGGUGGUUGAAAAAGUUAGUGGUGAAAUCCCAGAGCUUAACUCUGGAACUGCCAUUAAAACUUUUCAGCUAGAGUAUGAUAGAGGAAAGCAGAAUUUCUAGUGUAGAGGUGAAAUUCGUAGAUAUUAGAAAGAAUACCAAUUGCGAAGGCAGCUUUCUGGAUCAUUACUGACACUGAGGAACGAAAGCAUGGGUAGCGAAGAGGAUUAGAUACCCCUGUAGUC